AGCGUCUGGAAAGGCGCGCGAUACAGGGUGACAGCCCCGUACACAAAAGCGCAUGUGCUGUGAGCUCGAUGAGUAGGGCGGGACACGUGGUAUCCUGUCUGAAUAUGGGGGGACCAUCCUCCAAGGCUAAAUACUCCUGACUGACCGAUAGUGAACCAGUACCGUGAGGGAAAGGCGAAAAGAACCCCGGCGAGGGGAGUGAAAAAGAACCUGAAACCGUGUACGUACAAGCAGUGGGAGCACAGGUUUACCUGUGUGACUGCGUACCUUUUGUAUAAUGGGUCAGCGACUUAUAUUCUGUAGCAAGGUUAACCGAAUAGGGGAGCCGGAGGGAAACCGAGUCUUAACCGGGCGUUAAGUUGCAGGGUAUAGACCCGAAACCCGGUGAUCUAGCCAUGGGCAGGUUGAAGGUUGGGUAACACUAACUGGAGGACCGAACCGACUAAUGUUGAAAAAUUAGCGGAUGACCUGUGGCUGGGGGUGAAAGGCCAAUCAAACCGGGAGAUAGCUGGUUCUCCCCGAAAGCUAUUUAGGUAGCGCCUCGUGAAUUCAUCUCCGGGGGUAGAGCACUGUUUCGGCUAGGGGGCCAUCCCGGCUUACCAACCCGAUGCAAACUGCGAAUACCGGAGAAUGUUAUCACGGGAGACACACGGCGGGUGCUAACGUCCGUCGUGAAGAGGGAAACAACCCAGACCGCCAGCUAAGGUCCCAAAGUCAUGGUUAAGUGGGAAACGAUGUGGGAAGGCCCAGACAGCCAGGAUGUUGGCUUAGAAGCAGCCAUCAUUUAAAGAAAGCGUAAUAGCUCACUGGUCGAGUCGGCCUGCGCGGAAGAUGUAACGGGGCUAAACCAUGCACCGAAGCUGCGGCAGCGACACUGUGUGUUGUUGGGUAGGGGAGCGUUCUGUAAGCCUGUGAAGGUGUGUCGUGAGGCAUGCUGGAGGUAUCAGAAGUGCGAAUGCUGACAUAAGUAACGAUAAAGCGGGUGAAAAGCCCGCUCGCCGGAAGACCAAGGGUUCCUGUCCAACGUUAAUCGGGGCAGGGUGAGUCGACCCCUAAGGCGAGGCCGAAAGGCGUAGUCGAUGGGAAACGGGUUAAUAUUCCCGUACUUGGUGUUACUGCGAAGGGGGGACGGAGAAGGCUAUGUUGGCCGGGCGACGGUUGUCCCGGUUUAAGCGUGUAGGUGUGUGUUCCAGGUAAAUCCGGUUCACUUUAACACUGAGGCGUGACGACGAGGCACUACGGUGCUGAAGCAACAAAUGCCCUGCUUCCAGGAAAA
rnacentral:rRNA from 1 species